rnacentral:rRNA from 1 species
ACGCUCGACACCUACGGGGGGCGAGCAGUGGAGGAAUAUGGUCAAUGGGGACCGGCUAGCCUCGAACCACGCCAACGUAGCGUGAAGGAAGUAGAAGGUCGUCUAUAGGGUCGUAACUUACUUUAUAUAAGAAGAAAGUAGCAGUAUGUAUACUAGUUUCGUAUAGUAUUAUAUGAAUAAGGAUCGGCCAACUCCAUGCAAGCAGCCGCGGUAAUCUGAGCGGGCUGGCAAGGC